CUUACUCCCAGCUAACACCCGCGCUGGAGGAAGCACUGGGGAGUGAGAGGAGGAGAGAGAGCCAGACUCACAUCAGUCCCAGCCAGCAGAGUCAAUCCUCCUGCAGCCAAAAGGUAAGAAACAGGAGGGUGGUUUAAAAAAAAGUGUCAGUGUGUAUGUAUCUGUGUGUACCAGAGUGUUUGUGUGUAUCUGUCAGUGUGUAUGUAUCUGUGUGUACCAGAGUGUUUGUGUGUAUCUGUCAGUGUGUAUGUAUCUGUGUGUACCAGUGUGUAUGUAUCUAUGUGUACCAGAGUGUUUGUGUGUAUCUGUCAGUGUGUGUGUAUCUAUGUGUACCAGAGUGUUUGUGUGUAUCUGUCAGUGUGUAUGUAUCUGUGUGUACCAGAGUGUUUGUGUGUAUCUGUCAGUGUGUAUGUAUCUGUGUGUACCAGUGUGUAUGUAUCUAUGUGUACCAGAGUGUUUGUGUGUAUCUGUCAGUGUGUGUGUAUCUAUGUGUACCAGAGUGUUUGUGUGUAUCUGUCAGUGUGUAUGUAUCUAUGUGUACCAGAGUGUUUGUGUGUAUCUGUCAGUGUGUGUGUUUGUAUAUGUUAUUGUUUUUUUACACAGGCCUGUAGUCUUUUGUUUAAUUAUAUUUCAUUAUUUUAUAGCAGUGCUGCAGCUGUUAUGUUCAUGCUUUCUAGUGACUGUGUAUUUGAUUUUUAUGUACACUUUUUCCCACAAUCCUUUUCACUACUUAGUUGAUAUGCCCCAUUUUUUUUUAGUUGGGCUCUAUGUAACUGUUUUGAUCAGAUUGUUACUGUUUGUAACUUUGUUGCAAUGUGAAUCUUUUCUAUUUGGUGCUAAAUGCUUUUUGAUCUUUACAUACAGAAUGCAACAAUUAGGGUCAUGUUGUGUACCUUUCUAACUUGCACACGCCAUCUGAUAUUUUAUAAUGUGCAUGACCUAUUUUCUUUACUUUUUUUUUGUUUUUUUUGUUUAAUUGAUGGAGCGCUCACUCUAUCUUUGUUUUAAGAGAUUCUCAACUAAAGUUAAUUUUAUUUGAUGUGAAUCCCAUAGACUUGAUUAUUUUAUUGUUUCUCUACUUUUUAAUAUUUUUUUAAUUAAUUUUAUUUAUAUUUUGGUUUUAUGUGUAUCUGUGUGUGUGUGUGUAGCUGUAUGUAUAUGUGUCAAUGUGCAUUUGAGUAAAGAAAAUAGGUCAUGCACAUUAUAAAAUAUCAGAUGGGGUGUGCAAGAUAUGUGUGUCUGUUUGUAUCAGAGUGUCAAUGUAUGCAUCUGAGUGUAUGUGUGUAUCCGUGUGUGUCUGCAUGUAUCUGUGUCUGUCUGUAUCUCAUAUGUAUGUGCGUGUAUGUGUAUCUGUGUGUCUUUAUGUAUCUGUGUCAGUUGGCAUCUGUGUGUGUGUGUUUCUAUCUAUCAGUGUGCACCUUAGUGUGUGUGUGUGUGUGUGUAAGUAUGUGUCAAUGUGUGUUUCUGUGUGUCUGUGCAUAUGCAUGUAUGUCAAUGUGUGUAUCUGUAUGUGUGUGUAUACACUACACACAAAUGCACGCCUGCAUUCAAACACCAACAUUCACAUACACACAUACUCCAUACAAUAACAUGCUUACAUUUAAACACACAUACACUGCUGAGUGCUAAAUAAAGCCCGGCAAGAAUUGAUCCACAGCUAGCAAUGCAUUCUGGGACUUGUACAACAGAUGCUGAUCUACAUUUUGGCCACUUUACACACACUGCAUCCACUAAACACACACUGUGCGUUGACUACACACUGCAUCCUUGUGGGCUGAUUUAGGGACGGACUCGUGGGUGGGCUCUGAGGGCCCAGACCAUGAGCUUUGUCAGGGGCCCCAACAUUUCUGAUGGCAGCCCUGGACAGGGGACUGAAGAAGGGGGGCAGGGGCCUGACGAAGGGGGCAGGGUUUUGUUGAAGGGGGUACAGGCAACAGAUUGUGAAUGUGCCUGAAAUUGUCUAGAGGGGGUCAAACAAAGAUGGUGAGGGGGGCGCCACAAGAUUGGCUCUCACAGGGCGCCUGAACACCUAAGGCUGGCCCUGUGUGACAGUUUGUAAAAGUUCAAAUUUCAAUAGAAAUCAACACUUUUAGAAUCGGGGGUGAUGCCAUAAGACUGGCUGUCAAUCAGAUUUGUUUCCGUAUCCAUUAGCUCCACAAAACUAAAGUAAGUGGCAGGUAAAACCAAAACUAUCAAUGGAGUGUUCCUUUAAAUCCAGCAUAGAUAUUGGUUUUCAUAAAAAUUGCAAACUCUUAAACAUCUUUAUUGUUUUUCAAUCUCCUAAUUUUUCUCUCUCUGGGGAACAUAAAAUGAUACUCAGAGAGCACUGGAAUAAGCCACCAAAAGCACUCUCAGCCAAUAACCACCAUCAAGGUUAAGUGACAUUAAAGGGACCCUAUGGACACCCAGACCGCUUCACCUUACUGACGUGGUAUGGGUGCAGUGUCCCAGGUCCCUUAAUCCGUUGCAGCUCAUUAAAGAAUUUUAAUAAACUUACAAUAAUUACCUACCAGAGUUAACUCCACCUCUAGUGGCUGUCUACCAAACAGCCACAAGAGGGACUUCUGGGUUGUUAGGCGACUUUUGGUCGCCUAACUGAUGCUGGACGUCCAGCAUUAUCCAAAAUCCCAUAGUAAAACACUACACAAUGCUUUCCUAUUAGGGAAGUCCUAAUGAAAGGGUGGCCAUCACCGCGCAUGCGCAUUAGGUCUCCCCAGCGGGCUGACGUUGGCAAAGGUGGAACCUAAAAAAGCACCGAGGGAUAUAUUGGUGCUGGAAUCAGCUAAGUGACAUAAGGUUUUUUUAACCCCUUCUGCACCAUGGGGUGUGUGGGGGGAAGGAUUUAGGAGGGAGAAAACUUAGUUUUCCUGGCACUAUAGUUUCCCUUUAACGUGGAAAAUCUGGAAGUAUAAAUUUUUAACCCCUUAAGGACACAUGACAUGUCAUGAUUCCCUUUUAUUCCAGAAGUUUGGUCCUUAAGGGGUAAACAACUUGGCUGAGAACGGGUGGUUCCUGGGCUGUUAAAACGCUCCCAAACAGUUUAACUUAAAAUGCACUGUAGAGGUUAUAUUGCUUAGGAUGAGCCGAAAACAUGAAUUUCAUCAGAUAAUGUUCGUAAAUAAUCAGAUCCUUAACUCGUGCGAGCGAUUGUCACCAAAUCUCUUUGAUUGGGUCUCCAAAUAUAAUAUCACUUUAAUCGAAUCAACUGAUUGAUAUUUUUUAGUUUCUCGGAAUAAACACAUUCUAAAAGCCCCCAGAUCUAAGAAUCCCUUUACUACCCUGAAUGUUAGAACACGUUACUGAUUCUCUUACGUAUUUUUUACUUCGGCUGUAUUCUAUGUGCUUUUGAAAGUGCACAGACUUGUUUUCUAAGUUCCCUGGGGACAAGUAAUUUAUGUACAUAUGUACCAAGCAGCAGUCAGCUGGCUGAGUUACAGUAACUAAUGCAGACAUCUGUAUUCUGCCUGCAAUCACUGUUACUUUGGAAUCUAUUUAAGGACUGCACCUUAUUUACCAAAAAGGAGAAGUCACACAGGGUAAUGCAAUUUCUUUACUCACCGGUGAUUUGUGUGGGAUUUCUUUAGAAAGAAUCUGACACAAACUUUCAGCUUAGGAAUAUUUCUAACCUUGUGAAUUAAUUAGCUUUUUGUUUGUUUACACAGGUUUUUCAGGAGAUGCAAAACACUCAUAAAAGAAUUUUUAGUUACAGCGAAUUUCAAACUUUUUGGCCAUAAUGGCAUAACUGGAAAAAUUCUCCAAGUCAACUAAGCUUCUGUUUGGGUUCUUUUGACCUUAUAUUUGAAAUUCAUUUUACGAAACUGUCAUUUAAAGGGACACUAUAGGCACCCAAAACACUUCAUCUGAUUGAAGUGGUCAGGAUGCAGUGUCCCUGACUCCCUGUCCCCCUCAGCCCUGCUAUGUAAAACACAGCUGUUUUAAAGAAACUACAAUGUUUGUAUUGCUGGGUUAUGACUGGCUGUCUCUUCAGAGUUUCACGGAGUUUGACGCUGUGAAAUGAAGCUGGAAGACAUCCAGCAUCUUCUAAAACCCAAAAGGAAAGCACUGAGUCAAUGGGGAAGGUCUAAUGCAUGCAUGGCACGCGCAUUAGGUUCACCAUCUGCGCUGACAUCAGAGGAGAUGGAGACAGUGUAUUCCUGUGUACAAACAUGUAUUCCUGACCCUAGUGUUAAAACCACCAUUUAGCCCCCCUUUUCACCCCUUACUCCCCUAAAUAUUGUAAAAUCUUACUUUUAAUCCAGUCUGCUGCUGCUGGCUCUGCUUUGAUCUGCCUGCUUGACUGACAUCAUCAGAAGUGAUUAUCUCAGCCAAUCCCAAUGCUUUCCUAUAGGAUUGGCUGAGACUGUCAAGGAGGCAGAUCAGGGGCAGAGCAAACACAAGCAAACACAGCCCUGGCCAAUCAGCAUUUCAUCAAAUAAGUGCAUUGAAUCAAUGAAUCUCUAUGAUGAGGAAAGUUCAGUGUCUCCAUGCAGAGGGUGGAGCCACUGAAUAUCAGUCACACUGUGCAGCACUGCCCCAGGAAGCACCUCUAGUAGCCAUCUGAAGAGUGGCCAGUGGAGUUACCCCUAGGGCCUAGGCUGUAAUGUAAACACUGCCUUUUUUCUGAAAGGACAAUGUUUCUGCAAAAAGCCUGAAGGUAAUGAUUUUACUCACCAGAACAAAUGCAAUAAGCUGUAGUUGUUCUGGUGACUAUAGUGUCCCUUGAAGGACUAUAUAUGGCUCUGCUGGAAACCAAGCUGACUUGGAAAUGAUUCUAAUUUGACUAUUUUGGUUUACAGUGUACAGUUUUCCGACAAUUUACUGAUUGGUCAAAAAUCAUGUCUAUAUCGGAUAGCACGACAAUAAAUGUUUAAAUCACUUUAAAAAUGGCAGUGUUCCUAUAUCAAUGUUUUAACAUAACGUAAGGGGUGGAGAGGGGGGAGGUCCAGGUGACCCCAGUUAAAGUCCUUGAGUACUCCUGUAAAAUAUGUCAUUCCUGUAUUAAAUACAGAGCUUUCUAAUGUAUCACUGCCACUUCUCUCAGGAGCUUUUGAACUCAGACAUUCUACUGCCAUUUGUUGUGCCUAAGGUGGGUUUAUAGACCGUGCAUGUGAAAAUAACGAACCUGAACUUCUUGUCGGCCUUUAUAUUACAUAAGACUUUUUAUUUUAUUUUUAAUGUCUGCUUCUGAGUGGACACCUUCUGGGAUCUGAAAUGCAUUGAGCUAUUUUGGGGGGGAGGUCUGCCUCGUGGCUUUCAACUACACAUGAUGUUCACAUGUAUGGGCUUUUAUUCACAUGAAAACAAACGCUAAAGGGGGGGUUAAAAAAAAAGUUUAAAAAGUUUUAAAAAAACGUUAUAUUUUUACAGAUACAACGUAUUUAUUACUGAGCGCUAGAGGCAUGUUGAUUCAUGUCAAGAUUACUAAGAAUUGUUUUUUUUGUUUUCCCUACUGAUCGGCCUCAUCUUUUCUGAUUUCUUGUAGAUCUUGGUCAAUUUUACAACCAGCCCUACAACAUGUCCUGAUUCCCUGUGAAAAUGUGAAGGUUUUCAAAUACAAACAGAGAAAGGCUAGAUGAUAAAAUGAAUUGCACUUCACUGGGAUACUGGAGGAAGAUCAAAAGACCUGCUUUCUUGCUGUUUGUUUUAUCUGCUGUCCCUUUGAAUAAUGUAUGACAACAUUAAAGGAGAUGCCUCGUAUUUACUUCAUCUCACACCUACGUGAGUUGUCUUGGAAGCUUGCAAUCAAAAUUUACCUAGACUGUAAAGAGAGUGCCUGCCCCUCAUUACCCGUAAUCCCCACUGCAAUAUUUAAAUCCUGCAACUGGAAAUGAAUUGCUGAUCAGGAAAAUGUUUUAAAGAGGGAUUGUCCCUUCUCUAGAAUUUACAACAUUGACUAAAAUGUUACAAAUCACCUAUGACUUGUGUUAAACUUUAUUCAUGAGAUUCUCUGUUUUCCUUUAAAUUCCUAUUAAAGAUUUAUCAAAUUACAUCAUAAUCCACUUCAUACCAGGCAAAACCAGGGCACACAUUGCAAAUGAGAAGGUUAAAGAAAAACAUGAUUAUUACCGGCAUUUAUAAAGCGCCAACAUAUUCCGCAGCGCUGCACAAUAGGGGAAAAAGAGAGUACAAUAAAUAAACUGACCAAUACAAAUGGUAAAGAAGUCCACAGAUCGUUACAAUUUGUGAAAGAGAACUUUGGUGAUUAAAUGAAAUAAUACAAACUCUAUACUCAGUUUGAUACAAUGGGAACAGAGGGCCAUGCCUGUGAGCUUACAAUCUAGCAAUUACCGUAGUUUUAUAGAAAGUGCUUAACAAGAUGCCCUGUGAACUUACAACCCAAGGUAAUAAUGCGGAGUUGAAAAAAAACAAAGUUUUUAAAGGACCACUAUAGUCACCCAGACCACUUCAGCUCAAUGAAGUGGUCUGGGUGCAGGGUUCCCCAGGUUUUAACCCUGCAGCUGUAGACCUGUAAACAUGGCAGUUUAAGAGAAACAGCUAUGUUUACAUUCCAGGGUUAAUCCAGCCUCGAGUGGCUGUCUUCCUGAGAGGUCACCAGUGCCGAGGGAGCCCGGCGCUGGAUUAACACCUUCACCCCAGCAGGAGGGGGGCCCUAAGGACUAUAUAGAGCCAGGAAAAGGAGUUUGUUUUCUUGGCACUAUAGCAAUCCUUUAAGUUUAUAUCCAGAAAUCUGGAGACGUAUGCAAAUAUUGAGUAGUGGGGCAGUUAAAUAGUUAAGAUUAGAGGCAGCUGAAGGAACAUUUUACAAAGAUAGGUGGAACAAGAAAAAGGGGCCACAAAACUUUUGAAAUAUUUGUCAAGGGAAAUCCGGGUGCAGGAAUAAAUGUGGAGAAAU